GGGCUGUAGCACAGUGGGUUACGUGCAGGUGGCACAAAGCACAUGGACUGGAGUAAGGAUCCCAGUUCAAGCCCCAACUCCCCACCUGCAGAGGAGUAGCUUCACAAGUGGUGAAGCAGGUCUGCAGCGACUCCCCUGCAGAUGGGGGAGUCAGGGGCUCGAAUCAGGAUCCUUAUGCCAGUCAUUGUGUUUCGCACCAUGUGCACUUAACCCACUGCACUACCACCCAACUCCCCUACUGUUUUUUUUUUUUUUUGUCCAGGGACCAAAGACUGUACCUGGGUGGAUGGCGCUGGGUGGUGAAUGCUUUUCAAAGAGGCACACUUCCCCUUGAGGUAACAAGAGAUGGUUGAGAAGGUUGCAAGCUGAAGGGGCAGGGAGAGCUACUACCUGGCAUGAGGGGAUCUCCUUAGACUCAUUCUGAUGGGCUGCUGGAUCAGAAGCCUGGCAGCUUCUGGGGGAGAAGGGGCUGGAUCAAAAUUCUGCUCAGAACCCUAGGUUCUGACUAGGGAAGGUGUGAUCCAUGGGUCACCCCUCCCAGGGGGGCGCCUUCCUAACAUGCCAAGGUCUCCCCAGCCUGAGAAACCACAGAAGACUCAGUAACCCCAUAAUACCUUCUGCAACAACAUCAUCCCCUCUUUCUGCCCAUCUGGCUUUCAGCUGUGCCAAGUCCACAUGAUGGGGAGCUGGAUCCACCUGUCCUUGAAGCCCUUCAUAUGUGUUAAUCCCUGGGGGUUGGAUAGCAAGGCAUCACUUCCUCUUCCCCUCCUACCCCCCCCCCCACACACACACACAGGCCAGGCUGGGGAUAAAGUUGUCUCCUCACAUCCAAUGUCUCUGGGAACACCUAGCCAGGUCCCCUUCUUGGCUCACCACCAGCCGGCAACUUCCCUCCUGGAAGUUCCCCACCCAGAGCCCACCAGAAGUCCAGAGACAAAGCACCAACAAAGUGGUUGGUGGGUUUUAUUGAGACAGUCUUUUUCUUUCCUCUGUUGUGGGGGCUCCAUCAAGGGCUGAGACAUGAGAAGAGAUGGGGGUGGGGAAAGACUAAAAGAUACUUUUAGUGAAGAUCACAGAUUGUAGGUCUCUGAUGAAGGAAGAAC